rnacentral:rRNA from 1 species
GACGAACGCUGGCGGCGUGCUUAACACAUGCAAGUCGAACGGAAAGGCCCUGCUUUUGUGGGGUGCUCGAGUGGCGAACGGGUGAGUAACACGUGAGUAACCUGCCCUUGACUUUGGGAUACUUCAGGAAACUGGGGCUAAUACCGGAUAGGAGCUCCUGCUGCAUGGUGGGGGUUGGAAAGUUUCGGCGGUUGGGGAUGGACUCGCGGCUUAUCAGCUUGUUGGUGGGGUGGUGGCUUACCAAGGCUUUGACGGGUAGCCGGCCUGAGAGGGUGACCGGCCACAUUGGGACUGAGAUACGGCCCAGACUCCUACGGGAGGCAGCAGUGGGGAAUAUUGCACAAUGGGCGGAAGCCUGAUGCAGCAACGCCGCGUGCGGGAUGACGGCCUUCGGGUUGUAAACCGCUUUCGCCUGUGACGAAGCGUGAGUGACGGUAAUGGGUAAAGAAGCACCGGCUAACUACGUG